GUCCUGGUUUAGUCCUGGUUUAGUCCUGGUUUAGACCUGGUUUAGUCCUGGUUUAGUCCUGGUUUAGUCCUGGUUUAGUCCUGGUUUAGACCUGGUUUAGUCCUGGUUUAGUCCUGGUUUAGUCCCGGUUUAGUCCCGGUUUAGACCCGGUUUAGUCCUGUUUUAGUCCUGUUUAGUCCUGGUUCAGUCCUGGUUUAGUCCUGGUUUAGUCCCGGUUUAGUCCUGGUUUAGUCCUGGUUUAGUCCUGGUUUAGUCCAGGUUUAGUCCUGGUUUAGUCCCGGUUUAGACCCAGUUUAGUCCUGGUUUAGUCCUGGUUUAGUCCUGGUUUAGUCCUGGUUUAGUCCCGGUGUAGUCCCGGUUUAGACCCGGUUUAGACCUGGUUUAGUCCCGGUUUAGUCCUGGUUUAGUCCUGGUUUAGUCCUGGUUUAGUCAUGGUUUAGUCCUGGUUUAGUCCAGGUUUAGUCCUGGUUUAGUCCCGGUUUAGACCCAGUUUAGUCCUGGUUUAGUCCUGGUUUAGUCCUGGUUUAGUCCUGGUUUAGACCCAGUUUAGUCCUGGUUCAGUCCUGGUUUAGUCCUGGUUUAGUCCCGGUUUAGUCCUGGUUUAGUCCUGGUUUAGUCCUGGUUUAGUCCAG
ensembl:lncRNA